rnacentral:rRNA from 1 species
GUGUGGCUUUGCCUGCUAUCUCUUACCCAUGUCUUUUAAGUACCUUCGUUUCCUCGGCGGGUUCGCCCGCCGAUUGGACAAUUUAAACCAUUUGCAGUUGCAAUCAGCGUCUGAAAAAACUUAAUAGUUACAACUUUCAACAACGGAUCUCUUGGUUCUGGCAUCGAUGAAGAACGCAGCGAAAUGCGAUAAGUAGUGUGAAUUGCAGAAUUCAGUGAAUCAUCGAAUCUUUGAACGCACAUUGCGCCCCUUGGUAUUCCAUGGGGCAUGCCUGUUCGAGCGUCAUUUGUACCUUCAAGCUCUGCUUGGUGUUGGGUGUUUGUCUCGCCUCUGCGUGUAGACUCGCCUCAAAACAAUUGGCAGCCGGCGUAUUGAUUUCGGAGCGCAGUACAUCUCGCGCUUUGCACUCAUAACGACGACGUCCAAAAGUACAUUUUUACACUCUUGACCUCGGAUCAGGUAGGGAUACCCGCUGAACUUAAGCAUAUCAAAAGCCGGGAGGAAAA